rnacentral:lncRNA from 1 species
CAGAAAACUUAAAGUUGAUAUUUUUCUCCAUAGUGCGACUUUUUUUUAUUAAUUUGAAAUGGAAUGUGUUUUUUCCUACAGUUAUAAGAAAAAGGAAAUUUCAACAUAACGACUAUUAACAAAAAGGCGUCAUAUCAUCACGAUCAUAGAUGCACUGGAACUUGAUCAUGUAAAUGCAACAAUGUAAUUAUCAAUUGAAAGGAGGAACGAUGAAAAAAUUAUUAGUAUGUUGUUGUCCAAAUAAAAUUGAUUUGUCUUCUCAUUUGAAUAGCUCCAUCCAAUAAAGAUGUACAGAGGAAGAUCUUUGAAGAACAGAUUGAAAAAAUGUUUUGUCUAAGAUUGCAGAAUAUUCUAGUGGAUGAAAUAAUUUAUUGACUUGACUCUUAUAUAGUGGACUGAAUAAUUGUAUAUAGCAAGCAGUGAAAAAAGAAAACUAAAACUUUAACAGAAAAAGUGUUUAUAUUAUUAAUUUUCAAAUAUAAGCAUAAUAUUAUGUACACCAC